rnacentral:lncRNA from 13 species
CAUGAUUAUAAAAACUUCAAAUUUAAUCUACAAGAGGCAUGAAGAUACCUUGUAGAGUUCAGGAAAAGUACAUUUUGAAAUAUAUAUAUGGAGCAAUAAACAUCUGAAUAGUUGAAUGAAAUAGGAACAAAAUAUCAUCGUCAGGUACACAUUAUCUGAAGUUUUUCAACUCAGACAGAAGGAAGGUAUUCAGGUUUGGAAGUUAUGUAAGUGUUAUGUACUUAUUUCUAGAGUAAGAGAAACAGAACUGAGAGACUGAACACAUUUUAAAAAGUAAUGAAAGGUAAUAAUCCUUAAAAAUAUAAACUUAAGUAUCUCAUGCUGUUUUGAACGCAGCCAUGUUGACACUUAAGGGUGGGUCUGUAUUUUGCAUGACAUUGCCUUUUAUUCAUAGGUCAUGUUGGAAAUUUUAUGAAAUUCUAUAGAAUCCAUGUGAGCCAACUUUUCCUCCUGAAAAAUUUUCAGUGUGUCUGAAGUCUUGUUCUACACUGUGUAGAAAAAAAAAGCAAUUUUAAAAAUCUUCCCUCAAAUCCUGUAAUUGACACGCAUUCCAUGGAAAUAAAAAAUAUUUUUAUGAACUACUCUCUUACAUAAUCCCAAACUUUGAAAAGUUUAUACCCACACACAAAUAUAAAAUUAAAGAUAAAAGUUACACACACACACACACGCACACCAGCUCCUUAUAUAUUUGGAGACCAGUUAAAAUUUUAAUACAAUAUAAUACAGAAAAUAUCAGACUUAUCCUCUUGAUUCUAACACUUCUUUUUUCCUCCUGUCAGAAAAUGCAUGAUGGCAUGACCAUCAUGCCAGAUGGUCAGGCAGAGGCUCACACAUUUACAGACGCUCAAAAUUUCCCACUUGCCUGUGGUUGGCAGAUGUGAUGCUGGAGUAAAGGAAGGCUCCACAUGGGCAGCUGGAAGCCAGGCCGGAGUCCUCACAGCAUCUUAAACAGUUUUACACAGUCACAUUUAGACACCUGAGUAUAGCACUGAAAAACUGUUCCACCACUAACACCAAAAGAAAAUAAGCUCUUAAUUGUACAUAAAUAAGAAAGGUCCCACCUGUUGGCUAACCAGUUUAAACACUGAAAUUUCAUUUUCUUCAUGGAGCACCAUUAUCCCCA